CGAGUAAGCCAGAUGAUCGCGUCCGACUUUGUGCGGAUGAGGAAAGUCCGAGCACCACAGGGCAGGGUGCCGGGUAACACCCGGUGGAGGCGACUCCAAGGAAAGUGCAACAGAAAGAAACCGCCGGUAUGGCUUAUGCCAUGCCGGUAAGGAUGGAAAGGCGAGGUAAGAGCUCACCAGCGGCCUGGCGACUUGUCCGCUCUGUAAACCCCACCUGGUGCAAGAUUGGUAUGAGAGCAUUCAAUGGCGGCCCGCCACGCUCUUUGUAAUCGCUGGAGCUUGCAGGCAACUGUAAGCCAAGAUAGAUGAUCAUCCUACGACAGAACUCGGCUUACGGCUUGCUCGCUAC
rnacentral:RNase_P_RNA from 1 species